rnacentral:rRNA from 1 species
AAUAGAUACCCCGGUAGUCCACGCCGUAAACGAUGAGUGCUAAGUGUUAGGGGGUUUCCGCCCCUUAGUGCUGCAGCUAACGCAUUAAGCACUCCGCCUGGGGAGUACGGUCGCAAGACUGAAACUCAAAGGAAUUGACGGGGGCCCGCACAAGCGGUGGAGCAUGUGGUUUAAUUCGAAGCAACGCGAAGAACCUUACCAGGUCUUGACAUCCCAUUGACCACUAUGGAGACAUAGUUUUCCCUUCGGGGACAACGGUGACAGGUGGUGCAUGGUUGUCGUCAGCUCGUGUCGUGAGAUGUUGGGUUAAGUCCCGCAACGAGCGCAACCCUUGUUCUUAGUUGCCAUCAUUUAGUUGGGCACUCUAAGGAGACUGCCGGUGACAAACCGGAGGAAGGUGGGGAUGACGUCAAAUCAUCAUGCCCCUUAUGACCUGGGCUACACACGUGCUACAAUGGACGGUACAAACGGUUGCCAACCCGCGAGGGGGAGCUAAUCCGAUAAAACCGUUCUCAGUUCGGAUUGUAGGCUGCAACUCG